rnacentral:rRNA from 1 species
AUAAGACAGAUGUGAAAUCCCCGGAGCUUAACCUGGGAACUGCGUUUGUGACUGUAGGACUUGAGUGUAGCAGAGGGGGGUGGAAUUCCACGUGUAGCAGUGAAAUGCGUAGAGAUGUGGAGGAACACCGAUGGCGAACGCAGCCCCCUGGGGUUAACACUNGACGCUCAUGCACGAUAAGCGUGGAGGAGCAAACAGUGAUUAGACUACCCUGUGUAGUCCACGCCUCUAAACGAUGCCAACUAUGUGUUCGGGGAAGGAGACUUCCUGUAGUACCGUAGCUAACGGCGUGAAGUUGGCCGCCUGGGCGAGUACGGUCGCAAGAUUAAAACUCAAAGGAAUUGACGGGGACCCGCACAAGCGGUGGAUGAUGUGGAUUAAUUCGAUGCAGCGCGAAAAACCUUACCUACCCUUGACAUGUCCGGAAUCCUGCUGAGAGGUGGGAGUGCUCGAAAGAGAGCCGGAACACAGGUGCUGCAUGGCUGUCGUCAGCUCGUGUCGUGAGAUGUUGGGUUAAGUCCCGCAACGAGCGCAACCCUUGUCAUUAGUUGCCAUCAUUCAGUUGGGCACUCUAAUGAGACUGCCGGUGACAAACCGGAGGAAGGUGGGGAUGACGUCAAGUCCUCAUGGCCCUUAUGGGUAGGGCUUCACACGUCAUACAAUGGUCGGUACAGAGGGUUGCCAACCCGCGAGGGGGAGCUAAUCUCACAAAGCCGAUCGUAGUCCGGAUUGGAGUCUGCAACUCGACUCCAUGAAGUCGGAAUCGCUAGUAAUC